rnacentral:lncRNA from 1 species
AAAAUAUCUCAACACAGUCAUGUCAACAUGAAAAAAACUUUUUACUUAUUUGUUACUAGAAACUAUUCAGAAAAGAAGAUCUAGUUUAUUAGUGCUGAGCUAUAAUGUCGGCAAAAAACCAAGAAACUAAAAAAUAUAAUCACACUUUUCCCAAAAAAUACUCAUAAGAAUGACUUCAUAUUAGUUCAGAAGCUGAUGAGUUAUAAUAUGUAUUCUCCGAUCUGUCCAAUGCUUUGAAUUAGAAAGUAUUCCUAGCUAUAUGGUUAUGUUUGGAAUCAUAUGAAUACUUGGACAAUACAUAUGGUCAUGACCAUAUAUAAAAAAAUUUCUAAACAUGAAAUCUCAUCUCAUUUAAUCAAAUGGUUAUCAUUGUUACGCGAGAAAUGGAAUAAAGUGGACAAUGCGUAUGGUUCCAAAACUCAUAUGGUUCUUAACAGUUAUAUAGAAAGGAGUAGUUUAAACGCCUAAAAAAAAAGAUAGAACUUCUUUUUUUA